AGUGAACGCUGGCGGCGUGCCUAAUACAUGCAAGUCGAACGGAGUGGCGCACGGGUGAGUAAUGUAUAGCUAAUCUGCCCUACACUAGAGGACAACAGUUGGAAACGACUGCUAAUACUCUAUAGUGUAGGAUGAGGGUAUAUUGUAUCAGCUAGUUGGUGAGGUAAUGGCUCACUACGGCUAUGACGCAUAACUGGUCUGAGAGGAUGAUCAGUCACACUGGAACUGAGAAACGGUCCAGACUCCUACGGGAGGGAGCAGUAGGGAAUAUUGCUCAGUGGGGGAAACCCUGAAGCAGCAACGCCGGGUAGAGGAUGACACUUGUCGGAACGUAAACUCCUUUUGUUAGGGAGGCGGUACCUGACGAGUAAGCACCGGCUAACUCCGUGCCAGCCGCCGCGGUAAUAC
rnacentral:rRNA from 1 species